rnacentral:rRNA from 1 species
AACGAACGCUGGCGGCGUGGAUAAGACAUGCAAGUCGAACGGGAUCGUUCUGGUAGCAAUACCGGGGCGGUUCAGUGGCGCAAGGGUGCGUAACACGUGGGCAAUCUGCCGGGAUGGUGGGGAUAGCUCGACCGAAAGGCGAAUUAAUACCGCAUGUGAUCAGCGAAGGAUUCUUCGCGACAUACAAAGGCGGCCGCAAGGCUGCCGCAUCCUGAUGACGCCCGCGGCCUAUCAGCUAGUUGGUUGGGGUAACGGCCCACCAAGG